rnacentral:rRNA from 1 species
CAGCAGCCGCGGUAAUUCCAGCUCCAAUAGCGUAUAUUAAAGUUGUUGUGGUUAAAAAGCUCGUAGUUGGAUCUCAACAGCCUUGAAGCGGUUAACUUUGUAGUUUUACUGCUUUAUAGGCUGUGCUUUUGCUGGAGGUUUAGGGGUGCUCUUGAUCGAGUGUCUCUGGAUGCCAGCAGGUUUACUUUGAAAAAAUUAGAGUGCUCAAGGCAGGCUAAAAUGCCUGAAUAUUCGUGCAUGGAAUAAUAGAAUAGGAUGUCGAUCCUAUUUUGUUGGUUUUCGGGACUCGACAUAAUGAUAAAUAGGGACAGUCGGGGGCAUUUGUAUUCAAACGACAGAGGUGAAAUUCUUGGACCGUUUGAAGACAAACUACUGCGAAAGCAUUUGCCAAGAAUGUUUUCAUUAAUCAAGAACGAAAGUUAGAGGUUCGAAGGCGAUUAGAUACCGCCCUAGUUCUAACCAUAAACGAUGCCAGCUAGCGAUCUGCCUGCGUUUUUACUGUAGACUGGGCAGGAAGCUUCCGGGAAACCAAAGCAUUUGGGUUCCAGGGGAAGUAUGGUUGCAAAGCUGAAACUUAAAGGAAUUGACGGAAGGGCACCACCAGGAGUGGAGCCUGUGGCUUAAUUUGACUCAACACGGGAAAUCUCACCAGGCCCGGACACUGGAAGGAUUGACAGAUUGAUAGCUCUUUCUUGAUUCGGUGGGUGGUGGUGCAUGGCCGUUCUUAGUUGGUGGAGUGAUUUGUCUGGUUAAUUCCGAUAACGAACGAGACUCUGUCCUGCUAAAUAGUUUCUACUUCUCUUUUGAGUAGAAAUUUCUUCUUAGAGGGACUGGUGACUCUUAGUCACACGAGAUUGAGCAAUAACAGGUCUGUGA